rnacentral:piRNA from 1 species
UGCAAACAUGAUUCCAGGAGAUUUUCAAAU